rnacentral:lncRNA from 1 species
CCUAAUAUUCUACCUUUAUCUAUUGGCACACUAAACGUCUAGAUACAAAUUCAGCUAUUUUUCUUUUCAUAUUGUUCCACCAAUAACUUUACUUAAUAGUUCGAUACAUCUUGGUACUUUCUGGAUGCAUGGCAUAAGCCGAACAAUGAGCUUCUUCUAUUAUCUGCUUCCUAAGAUCCUCUGCUUUUGGAACACAUACACGAUUCCCGUACAGC